CGCACAUUGCGCCCCUCGGUUUUCCGGGGGGCAUGCCUGUCCGAGCGUCAUUACAUCACUCAAGCUCCGCUUGGUUAUGGGCCUCGCCUUAAGGGCGUGCCUGAAAUGUAGUGAGCGGUCCCGAGAGGCCUUGAACGUAGUAAAUUUUCUCCCGUUCUGAAGGCUCUCGCGGUGGCCAGCCAUAACCCUUUAUUUCUGACGAUUGACCUCGGAUCAGGUAGGGAUACCCGCUGAACUUAA
rnacentral:misc_RNA from 1 species